UACGUAGGGGGCAAGCGUUAUCCGGAUUUAUUGGGUUUAAAGGGUGCGUAGGCGGUCGGAUAAGUUAGAGGUGAAAUCCCGGGGCUCAACUUCGGAAUUGCCUCUGAAUACUGUUCGGCUAGAGAGUAGUUGCGGUAGGCGGAAUGUAUGGUGUAGCGGUGAAAUGCGUAGAGAUCAUACAGAACACCGAUUGCGAAGGCAGCUUACCAAACUAUAUCUGACGUUGAGGCACGAAAGCGUGGGGAGCAAACAGG
rnacentral:rRNA from 1 species